rnacentral:rRNA from 1 species
GACGAACGCUGGCGGCGUGCUUAACACAUGCGAGUCGAACGGUGAUGCUCCAGCUUGCUGGCGUGGAUCAGUGGCGAACGGGUGAGUAACACGUGAGCAACCUGCCCCAGACUCUGGAAUAAGCGCUGGAAACGGCGUCUAAUACUGGAUACGAAACUGGCCCGCAUGGGCAUGGUUUGGAAAGUUUUUCGGUUUGGGAUGGGCUCGCGGCCUAUCAGCUUGUUGGUGAGGUAAUGGCUCACCAAGGCGACGACGGGUAGCCGGCCUGAGAGGGCGACCGGCCACACUGGGACUGAGACACGGCCCAGACUCCUACGGGAGGCAGCAGUGGGGAAUAUUGCACAAUGGGCGAAAGCCUGAUGCAGCGACGCCGCGUGAGGGAUGACGGCCUUCGGGUUGUAAACCUCUUUCAGCAGGGAAGAAGCGAAAGUGACGGUACCUGCAGAAGAAGCACCGGCUAACUACGUG